UACGAAGGGGGCUAGCGUUGCCCCGGAAUCACUGGGCGUAAAGGGUGCGUAGGCGGGUCUUUAAGUCAGGGGUGAAAUCCUGGAGCUCAACUCCAGAACUGCCUUUGAUACUGAAGAUCUUGAGUUCGGGAGAGGUGAGUGGAACUGCGAGUGUAGAGGUGAAAUUCGUAGAUAUUCGCAAGAACACCAGUGGCGAAGGCGGCUCACUGGCCCGAUACUGACGCUGAGGCACGAAAGCGUGGGGAGCAAACAGG
rnacentral:rRNA from 1 species